GAUGAACGCUGGCGGCGUUCCUCAUACAUGCAAGUCGAGCGAAUCGGGGCCGGGUGCGUAACACGUGGAUAACCUCCUAUAAGACUGGGAUAACUUCGGGAAACCGGAGCUAAACCGGAUACUUAUAGAUUGAUCCGCGCUGCAUUCGCUAGUUGUUAAGGUAACGGCUUACAAAGGCAACGAUGCAUAGCCUACCUGAUAGGGGGAUCGUCCCCACUGGAACGGAGACACGGUCCAGACUCUGACGGGAGGCAGCAGUAGGGAAUCUUCCGCAAGGGGCGAAAGCCGGACGUAGCAACGCCGCGUGAGUGAUGAAGGUCUUCGGAUCGUAAAACUCUGUUAUUAGGGAAGCGGUACCUAAUCAGAAAGCCACGGCUAAAGACGUGAGAGCAGCCGCGGUAAUUC
rnacentral:rRNA from 1 species